UACGAAGGUGGCAAGCGUUACUCGGAAUUACUAGGCGUAAAGGGCAGGUAGGUGGUUUGGUAAGUCUGUUGUGUAAGCUCCCGGCUUAACUGGGAGAGGCCAACGGAAACUACCAGGCUUGAGUAUAGGAGAGGAUACUGGAAUUCCCGGUGUAGCGGUGAAAUGCGCAGAUAUCGGGAGGAACACCAAUGGCGAAAGCAGGUAUCUGGACUAUUACUGACACUAAGCUGCGAAAGCUAGGGGAGCAAACAGGG
rnacentral:rRNA from 1 species